rnacentral:rRNA from 1 species
UAGUAGUCAUACGCUCGUCUCAAAGAUUAAGCCAUGCAUGUGUAAGUCUAAAUAGGUUUAGUGUGAAACUGCGAAUGGCUCAUUAUAUCAGUUAUAGUUUAUUUGGAAUAGUAGUUAUAUGGAUAACCGUAGUAAUUCUAGGGCUAAUACAUGUGUUUUCGUUCGUGGGUAACCAUGAAGGAAGUACUUAUUAGGUGUAAAACCAGCAUUUGUUGGUGAGUAAUAAUAAUUGUGUUAGGUAUCGCAUGCUUGUUAGUAGCGAUGUUCCUUUCAAGUUUCUGCCCUAUCAGCUUUCGAUGGUAGUGUAUUGGACUACCAUGGCAGUAACGGGUAACGAAGA